rnacentral:sRNA from 1 species
CCCGUAAUCAACCCCAUUGCUGGACUCCCAGUCAGCCUCUGCCCUGCCUUGUUCUUCUGCUUCAGUUUCUAACAGUGUAGUUCACUUAAUGGCCCUCUCUCCAACAGCUCUCAGGGGAGGGGAACCACCAUCAGUAGGCGUGGUCAGAGGCUUCAGACUUCCUUGGAGGAGGGGUGUGAGUCUGGGUAGCUUCUGAGCAAAGGACAAGAUGGCCUGGGACUCUUCAGAAAGAUCCAGGUGUCUGUCUGCUCUAUGCGGUUUCCCAGCCUAGCCCUGGGGCUACGUGCUGCUCACGAAAAACCCACCCUGAGUGUCCCACACCCCUCCGGUUCAUUGCGUCUUCUGAGCGCUAGCUCUUGGCUUUGAGAUGAACUUCGUUUUAAUCAUAAUUUAAAACCUGAAGGCAUAGAGACUAACUCUGUGGCAGGGCUUCUAGGAUCAGUGGGUGUCUGGGUGCCCACCCCAUCAGGUACUGAAUCCACAACAAAGGUUGCCUGCUUCAUGGAGGGGCCCACACAUGCCACGCAUGGGCCCGCACAAGGAUAUCGGCCUCUCCUGGUGAAUAUAUGAACUGUGACUACUCUGGUGACGCUGACAGCAGAUACUGCUGGGUGUCACCUGUGGGGACCCGGGUACAGUUAUGUAAGAGCACGAGUAUACGGAAUCCACAGCACAAGGGGCUGGUGUGCGUGCAGUUCGUGAGUGUGAAUAUCUGUGUGCACAUAUGAGAAGGCACCCACGAGGGUCAAUGUGAGUAUCAUGGAGGCAUGUGCACGCAUGCGUGCAUACACAUUUGUAUGUGAGAUGCAUGUAAGUGUCCUUGUGUUGUGUAUAUGCAUGCUAUGUGAGCAUGUGUAAGGUAUUUGUGUGUGUGCACCCAUGGAGUUCCCCCAUCUUGGAAACCGCCGCCCCAACUCAGAUCCCUUUCUGCUGUCCUGUUUCAGUUCCUUUCCCUAUUCUUACGUCUGAAUCGUGUCACCAUUUGAACUCAGGGUAAGGUCAUUGCCAUUGCCCACCCUGGGAUGCUAGCUCUGGUGGUGAGCUAUGAGCUCCCGGAGGCCUGUGUUUCCUGUCCUAGCCUCACAGCCAUGUACCUCACUCUGCGAGAGUACCAAGGCUCUGUCCCAAACUCACAACAGCUCUUCCUAGCUUUACCUUUUGGAUCCCAGGCAGCAUCUGGCACUUUGGUCCCCAAAGCAGUGCCUCUGCCUGCUUCCCAGUGUCCAUCACUUUUGUCACCACUCAACCGGUCACACUUGUUCUUUCUGGCAGCUCCUUCCUCAGGUCCAAGGGAAGUACCCUCUGCACUCCACCCUUCCCAAGUACCUCAGUGCCCUAUUCCUCCACAGGAGUCCCUCAGCAUACGGCAAAAGUGGUUGGAAGUAAGAUAACAGCACUGUUUGGAUUCAAGCAUGCCACGAUUCCACCUUUCACUGUGCGUGCUGAGCUGGAAGCCACUGAAGGCACAGGACGCCCUCCAAGGAGAGGUAACCUGGCCCCAAAGAAGCCAGAGGCUAGGCUGCAAGUGACUGACCUUUGAGAGGUACGUGACAGGGCUCAGGGUGCGGUACCGAAGUCCACCUUAGGAGGGAGCUCCUGAGCCAUCAAAGGACGCAACAUGGGUCAGCCAUCUGGCCACUCAGGCUGGACAGAACCAAAGCUUAGGAACUUUGAGAGAAGAACAACAUCCCGAUCUCAUGUACUUCACACCCUGUGAGAACCGAGUUCCUGGAUCCCGGAAUGGAGAUCCCACACGUGCGCUACCCCAGCCAGGAUGGCCUGAGCAUUCUCCAACUCACACCAGACAGGCCCUGGCAUCAGGCCCCUGGAGCACAGCAGGACCAGUGAUGCUGCAGAAGACCCGCCCACUACCAACAGGCCCAGGCCAGGCCUCUGUGA